CCUACGGGUGGCAGCAGUCGAGAAUUUUUCUCAAUGGGGGCAACCCUGAAGGAGCGACGCCGCGUGGAGGAUGAAGGCUUUCGGGUUGUAAACUCCUGUCAUUUGAGAACUAGUAUCAGAAGAGGAAGGGACGGCUAACUCUGUGCCAGCAGCCGCGGUAAUACAGAGGUCCCGAGCGUUGUUCGGAUUCAUUGGGCGUAAAGGGUGCGUAGGUGGCGCUGUAAGUGGGGUGUGAAAUCCCGGGGCUUAACUCCGGAACUGCAUUCCAUACUGCAGUGCUUGAGGACUGGAGAGGAGACUGGAAUUUACGGUGUAGCAGUGAAAUGCGUAGAGAUCGUAAGGAAGACCAGUGGCGAAGGCGGGUCUCUGGACAGUCCUGACACUGAGGCACGAAGGCCAGGGGAGCAAACGGGAUUAGAUACCCUUGUAGUC
rnacentral:rRNA from 1 species